ensembl:lncRNA
AAGCUAACUUGAAAACUCAUGUCCAGCUAAAUCAGCAACUUAUGUGAACUUGACAAUGUGGGGAAGUUGAGCACAGCAGGAUUCAAAACUGCCUCACGUGACUGCUACCGAGGUGCAUCAUGGGGAAUUGGCGGUUAACGACAUGCUCACUUUACUUGGACGUUUUCUAAUCGUCUUCUUUGGAAUAUGCUUUCAAGGUCUGUGAAGCCAAACUUGAUGCUGGGGAUUUAUUUUUGUCAGUGGAGUCAAAUGGUUGAAGCAGAAUUUGCCCGUCUUACAUCUGUUGAGCUGAAAGGGUUCCUUUUUGCUGUGCUUGACCAUUAUGGAGAGGUUCGUGGAGCUGUACAAAAUCAAGAGCGGCAUAGGAGGGCUGACUAGGCUCAUAAGAUGCUUCG